GUUCACUUUAGCAGUACAUAUACAAAAGCAGGAAUGAUACUGAGAUGAGCAUGCUCCCUGCAAAAGAAUGACUAGUAAAUUCGUGAAACAUUCUUUAUUUUU